rnacentral:lncRNA from 1 species
UGCGCGAUGCCUCAGAGGACUCGGAGUACUGGAGGGCGCUGACCACGGUUAUCCCUGCUGCCACGCUGAGCCUCUGGGACGUUCUGUACACAGCCUUGGAGAAGUACCACCUCGUCCUGACCCAGAGGGCUGAGCUGCUGAUAGAAAACCGUUCCUUGGAGCAGCAGAACACGGAGCUCCAGCAGCUGCUGCAGCAGUACUUAGACUCCAAGGUGGGUGACAGAGGCCCUCCAGCAAGGAGAGGCAGGAUGCCAGCCGAGGCAGGAUGCCAGGGGAGGCCACGGGCCUGGAGCAGCUCUCAGGAAAUGAGGACCCCUCCCUCACCAGAGCCAAGGGAGCUUUGCCAUGUGGAUUGUAAUAGUGUCCCUUUGAUAUCCAUGGUUUUGUGUUUUUUCCCUGCCCCCCCCCCCUUUUUUUUAAAGGUCACACAUGCAGCAUAUGGAGGUUCCCAGGCUAGGGGUCAAAUCAGAGCUGCAACAACAGACCAACACCACAGCUCACGGCAACACCAGAUCUUUAACCCACGGAGCGAGGCUAGGGAUCAAACCUGCAUCCUCACAGGCACUAUGUCGGGUUCUUAACCUGCUGAGCCACAAUGGGAGCUCCUGUCCAUGGUUUUUGGCACCAGCUGCUUGUCGGACCGCCUUUAGAGGCAGUGCCAAAGCCAGCGCUGGCUUCACAGCUUACAGGGCGCUUCCAUAUGAAUUUUCUUCUUUGGUCCUAACGGCCAGUUUGUGAGGCACAUGGGGCAGAAAUGACUCUCCCUCUUUCAUGGAAACGAGAAUCAAAAUCCAGAGACUCUGGGAUUUGCGGGAGCUCGGGCUCUUCCUGCUCUGCCAGCCCCGGGUAUCUGGCCUAGGAUGCGACGUGAGAAGAGGAGGCUCCACUGGGGGCAUAUUCCCCGGUGCCCGCUCGUGCCUGCUCCAGGGACAGCUGGGCCCGGCAGGAGGGAUCUCACCCUCCUCUCUCAAAGGAAGAGGCCAUCAGCACUGCAGUUGCUCUGCCCCAGGCUCGUGUGCCAUCCUUCCGGUGGUGAAGGGUCCUACCCCUGGGUGAGCGUAGGUCCUCUGCCAUCGACUGAGGCCACCUGCAAGCCCAGGCCCUGGGGAUGUGCAGCCUCGCGGGGUCUCGGGCCCCAGGCCAUGUCUGAGCGGGGGACGUAGUGAGCCUGGGGGUCCCAGUGGCCUCUUGGCUCGUGACGGGACUCAGACGUGCGGGAACUGUAAGGUCUGUACCUCCUCCGAUGUGGACAGGAGGAUGGCGAGGAGGGGGAAGCGGGGGCUCGCCUGGGACGGGGUGGGCUGCGACGGGAGGAUUCGAGAGGAUGGAUCAGAGGGAGAGUCAGGAGCAUUUCCAGAGGCUGGCGAGCUGGAGCGGAGGCCAGACAGGGAGCCCCAGGACUGGUUUUCUGAGGACGGCGGGCGGUGGGCUUUCCCAGGCAGCUGGAAGAUUUGGGGGGAAAGUGCUUCCUCUUCUUCUUCUUUUUUUUUUUUUAUAUAGUGAUUUUUAUUUUUUCCAUUAUAGCUGGUUUACAGUGUUCUGUCAAUGUCCUACCAUACAGCAGGGUGACCCAAUGACACAUACCUGUAUACAUUCUUUUUUCUCCCAUGGUCAUGCUCCACCAUAAGUGACCAGACAUGGUUCCCAGUGCUACACAGCAGGAUCUCAUUGCUAAUCCCUUCCAAAGGCAAUAGUCUGCAUCCAGGGAAGUGCUGCUAAUGAUUCGGGGUCUGUGGGAGGGAGGAGGACUCUGGGGAACGUGGGGUGAUCUUCCUCCUUCUUUUCCAGGUAAACUCCGAACUGCAAGUUCCUCCAACUCACGUGUUCCGAAUGCCCACAAAAUAGACUCAGAUCUCGAAAGGCUACCAGGUUAGGGUGGACGUUGGUUUCAGCCUUGAUACUGGAGGCGGUGUCCCCAGGGAGCUGCCUGGGCUUGCUCGCUCGCUUUUCUAGCUGCUGUUUUGGGGACUGUCAGGUUAAGGCAACCAGAGGAGUUACAUGUAUCCUUUGGUCAUGAUUAAAGUCU